UACGAAGGGGGCGAGCGUUGUUCGGAUUUACUGGGCGUAAAGCGCACGUAGGCGGAUGUGUCAGUCAGGGGUGAAAUCCCGGAGCUCAACUUCGGAACUGCCCUUGAUACAGCACGUCUUGAGUCCGGAAGAGGUGGGUGGAAUUCCUAGUGUAGAGGUGAAAUUCGUAGAUAUUAGGAAGAACACCGGUGGCGAAGGCGGCCCACUGGUCCGGUACUGACGCUGAGGUGCGAAAGCGUGGGGAGCAAACAGG
rnacentral:rRNA from 1 species